UGGAUAAGGCAUGCAAGUCAAGGGGACCGCAAGGUAACCGGCAGACGAGGUAGUAACACGUACGAACGCACCCCAGAGUCUGGCAUAGCUCGUCGAAAGACGGGGUAAUUCCGGAUGGUCCCGCAAGGGUAAAGUUUUUUCGCUCUGGGAGCGGCGUGCGUAAUAUCAGCUAGUUGGUAAGGUAAUGGCUUACCAAGGCUACGACGUUUAGGGGAGCUGAGAGGCUGACCCCCACCGAUGGGACUGAGAGACGGCCCAUACUCCUACGGGAGGCCGCAGUCGAGAAUCUUCCACAAUGGACGAAAGUCUGAUGGAGCGACGCCGCGUGAUGGACGAAGUGCUUCGGCACGUAAACAUC
rnacentral:rRNA from 1 species